AAAAGCCACUAAGUUUAUUAUAUGUUGCCCGUACCGUAAACCGACACAGGUGGGUGGGAUGAGUAUUCUAAGGCGCGUGGAAGAACCCUGGUUAAGGAACUCUGCAAACUAGCACCGUAUCUUCGGUAUAAGGUGUGCCUACUUUUGUAUAUGAACUUGCUUCAAAAAGCGAAAGAGGUUGCAACAAAGAGUCCCUCCCGACUGUUUACCAAAAACACAGCACUUUGCUAACACGUAAGUGGAUGUAUAAGGUGUGACGCCUGCCCGGUGCUCGAAGGUUAACUGAUGAUGUCAGCGCAAGCGAAGCAUUUGAUUGAAGCCCGAGUAAACGGCGGCCGUAACUAUAACGGUCCUAAGGUAGCGAAAUUCCUUGUCGGUUAAAUACCGACCUGCAUGAAUGGCGUAACGAGAUGGGAGCUGUCUCAACCAGGGAUCCAGUGAAAUUGUAGUGGAGGUGAAAAUUCCUCCUACCCGCGGAAAGACGGAAAGACCCCGUGCACCUUUACUACAGCUUGACACUGUAGCUUGGAUAUUCAUGUGCAGGAUAGGUGGGAGGCUAUGAUGACUAGACGCCAGUAGAGUCGGAGCCAUCCUUGAGAUACCACCCUUGAAUAUUUGAGUUACUAACUGCGUACAAUUAUCUUGUAUCAGGACAAUGUCUGGUGGGUAGUUUGACUGGGGCGGUCGCCUCCUAAAAAGUAACGGAGGCUUACAAAGGUUAGUUCAAAGCGGAUGGAAAUCGCUUGUUGAGUAUAAUGGCAUAAACUAGCUUGACUGUGAGACAUACAAGUCGAACAGAGACGAAAGUCGGUCAUAGUGAUCCGGUGGUUCUGUGUGGAAGGGCCAUCGCUCAAAGGAUAAAAGGUACGCCGGGGAUAACAGGCUGAUCUCCCCCAAGAGCUCACAUCGACGGGGAGGUUUGGCACCUCGAUGUCGGCUCAUCGCAUCCUGGGGC
rnacentral:rRNA from 1 species